rnacentral:lncRNA from 1 species
UGACAAUCAACAAUGAGCUUUAAACAGUGUAAUAAACAAUUAUGUUUUCUAGGCAGAUUUUGUUUUUCUUUGUGUUCCUGGAUCCACUGUCUGAAUGGAGGAAACUCUGGCUAGAAGAAACAAGCACCAAAAUAAAAAUAAUUGGUUUCCUAAGCACUGAAAUAGUUAUUAUCAUAGAUGCCCCUUUUUACUGACGUGAAAAACUUUUCAG